rnacentral:rRNA from 1 species
AAGGUCUAACCUGCCCAAUGAUUAAAUUUAAUGGCCGCGGUAUUUUAACUGUGCUAAGGUAGCAUAAUCAUUUGUCUUUUAAUUAAAGGCUAGAAUGAAUGGUUGGACGAGGUAUAAUCUUUCUUUGAUUUAUUUGUUGAAUUUAAUUUUUUAGUUAAAAAGCUAAAAUGUUUUUGAGGGACGAGAAGACCCUAUAGAUCUUUAUAUUUUAUUUUAUUUUUUAUAUUGGUGAAUUAAUUAUUUUAAUAAGAUAAUUUAUUUGGUUGGGGUGACUGUAGAAAUUAAUUAACUUCUACUAUAAUUUUUUCAUUAAUUUAUGUAAUUUUGAUCCAUUAAUAAUGAUUAUAAGAUUAAGUUACCUUAGGGAUAACAGCGUAAUUUCUUCGGAGAGUUCUUAUCGAUGAAGAAGUUUGCGACCUCGAUGUUGGAUUAAAAUAAGUAAUAGGUGUAGCAGUUUAUUUACUAGGUCUGUUCGACCUUUAAUUUUUU